CCUACGGGGGGCUGCAGUGAGGAAUAUUGGUCAAUGGACGAGAGUCUGAACCAGCCAAGUAGCGUGAAGGAUGACUGCCCUAUGGGUUGUAAACUUCUUUUAUAUGGGAAUAAAACGUUCCACGUGUGGGAUUUUGUAUGUACCAUAUGAAUAAGGAUCGGCUAACUCCGUGCCAGCAGCCGCGGUAAUACGGAGGAUCCGAGCGUUAUCCGGAUUUAUUGGGUUUAAAGGGAGCGUAGGUGGAUUGUUAAGUCAGUUGUGAAAGUUUGCGGCUCAACCGUAAAAUUGCAGUUGAAACUGGCAGUCUUGAGUACAGUAGAGGUGGGCGGAAUUCGUGGUGUAGCGGUGAAAUGCUUAGAUAUCGCGAAGAACUCCGAUUGCGAAGGCAGUUCACUGGACUGCAACUGACACUGAGGCUCGAAAGUGUGGGUAUCAAACAGGAUUAGAUACCCCAGUAGUC
rnacentral:rRNA from 1 species